GCCAGGCGCAGUGGUGCACACCUGUAAUCCAGAGACUACGGAGGCUGAGGCAGGAGAACUGCAAGUUUGAGACCAACCUCAGUAACUUAGUGAGGCCCUAAGGACUUACUGAGACCCUUUCUCAAAAUAAAACAUUUUUUUAAAAGGGUGGGGCCUGGUGCAGUGGCACACAUCCAUAAUCCCAACAGCUUGGGAGGGUGACGCAGGAGUAUUGCAAGUUCCAGACUGGCCUCAGCAAAUUAGUGAGGCCUUAAGCAACUUUCCAAGACCCUGUCUCAA
rnacentral:sRNA from 1 species